GAUGAAGAACGCAGCGAAAUGCGAUAAGUAGUGUGAAUUGCAGACUUUAGUGAAUCAUCGAAUCUUUGAACGCACAUUGCGCCCUUUGGUAUUCCGAAGGGCAUGCCUGUUCGAGCGUCAUUUCACCACUCAAGCCUGGCUUGGUAUUGGGCGCCGCGGUCGAUCCGCGCGCCUCAAAGUCUCCGGCUGAGCUGUCCGUCUCUAAGCGUUGUGAUUUCAUUAAUCGCUUCGGAGUGCGGGCGGCCGCGGCCGUUAAAUCUUUCACAAGGUUGACCUCGGAUCAGGUAGGGAUACCCGCUGAACUUAAGCAUAUCAAUAAGCGGAGGA
rnacentral:misc_RNA from 1 species